CGCGGUUCAGCGUUUUCCCGGAAUGGCCAAAUUUUACAGACCAGAGGGCAAGGAUUACAAUAGCCCUGGUUUAUUGUGGGGGGCCUUUGCAGAACCGUACUUUGGGAGUGCGGCCGAGUCACGACUUUGGGACAUAUUUGCCUACAGAGAGGCCAUGCUGGACCUCCUUAUGGCUGAAGACCUAAGGCCAGACCUGAUUGAAUUGGCUGUCCAGGAAUGGGAACUGGAGCAGGACUACCAGCACCUGAUCAGCUCCAGUCAGUCACCCUGUACCCUACAGGUACCACCAGAGCAGUUGGAGUUC